AUACGGAGGUUGCGAGCGUUAAUCGGAAUUACUGGGCGUAAAGCGUACGUAGGCGGUUGGUUAAGUUAGAUGUGAAAGCCCCGGGCUUAACCUGGGAACUGCAUUUAAAACUGGCGAACUAGAGUUGAGUAGAGGGGAGUGGAAUUUCAGGUGUAGCGGUGAAAUGCGUAGAGAUCUGAAGGAACACCAGUGGCGAAGGCGACUCCCUGGACUCGAACUGACGCUGAGGUACGAAAGCGUGGGUAGCAAACGGGAUUAGAUACCCCAGUAGUCC
rnacentral:rRNA from 1 species